GAGCAUUUCUUAAGAAGAAUACCUAGAAACAUCUGGGGUCCUUCUAUUUCAUUGUCUUACAAUUAUUAGGCUUUGUGUAAACGCUCGCAGAUUGAAUGACGAAAUAAAAGAAGAAACUACAGCACAGUCAAUUUUCUCCAUGACAGCCUGAGAGAUGUAGCUGGUGCUGCCACUUUUCCUUCAUUUUUCCCUGCCUUGAAUAUGGUGGUGAUGCCUGGAGCUUCAGCAGCCAUCUUAUGGCCAUGAAAUGGCAAGCAUGAGAAUGAAAGAAAAUGCACUCAUCAUGAAAGGAGGAAGAGCAGAAGAAAUCUGGGUCACUGGUGAUAUCAAUGGAUAGCUGAAGCAGUGCUGCUCUGGAUGGAAAAUGCCCUGGGUUCUCCGAGACUUAACACCCCGCCUUGUGAACGCGAGCAAGAUUAUUCUCUCUGAGCAGCUCUUUUCACAUGUGAUAAGCUUGGCAAGUUGCCCUGGAUUGAAUUCUCACCCACUGUCUUCACCCAACCCAGCAGAGAAGAAGGCUUGUGACUGUGUAAGUGGAGCAAAAAGGAUAAAACUGGUUUAAGAAGAUGCAACUUGUGAAAUCUGGUCAUGAUUGCUCUAUCGCCUAAAAAGUCAUGUGGGGGUAUGCGGUGGCAAGCUGUCAAGAGGCAAGAUAAGGCAUUUGCAAUUGGCAGUGUUUCAAAGGACUCCAGAUUUCUCCAAAGAACCUAGAUUUCCCAGGUACUGAACAUGUGCAAAAUAGAAACAAACAUUCAAGAUGAGUGAGUGAUGAGUUCUGCCUGUGGUCAGAAGAAAACAACACUCCCAACUCUGCAACCUGAUCACUUCCCUACUUAGUCCUGUUUGUGGAGCCGCCUUAUUAACGACAUUAGAACAAAGAUAUGAAGGCAAGUCAGGAUAUGAUUGCUAAAGGAAGAGAAAAAAAAUGUUGGAUGGCAAUCCUAUGAAACAGCAGACAUCUCACUGACUACUGUAUCCUCAGACUGGAGUAAGGCAUUGCACACAACAGAUUCCUGAUACUUGUGCGUUACCAUUGCAAAUAGUGCAUCACACAGACAAUGAGGUCCUCCACCAGUGCUUCCUAGAACCUGGGGACAACACAGUUGUUAUGCAGCCAAUCCAUGCCCUGGAUGCAAGUUUCGCAGGCUCCAGUAUCAUUCUGGUCAUUCCUCUGCAAAACACUACUGAAAAAGCAAUUCCAGGAAAUAUGUAAAUUUGUUGCUGAACUGUUAUAAAAAUAUGGAAAUUUAAGCCGCAGACAUCAAAGCAUUUUUUCCUAAAAAAAACACCACGUUAAUAAACUGAAGAGUUACACUACAUUAUGGUGUCAGGAUAAAUUCCUUACUCUAGACCUUCCCUGUUCUCUCUUCUGUGCUCUGGGCGCAGCAUCUGGUACUCACAUUUUCCACGUUGCCAUUAGGAGAAAGUGAAUAUCAUUAAACCACUAAAGGAAUUGACAAAGGGAUUGUGACCUGAUGCUUCACAAUGAGAACCCUGUUGUGAUUAAAUGGUUAAGUUGAAAGUUAAUGGAAGCUGCAAAGUGUUUGCCUUCUGUAUCUGCAAUGGAAACCCCACCUGCUGUCUUCUUGGUGUUUUUGUUCCUUGUCUUUAAGACCUGGUCUCAAAUUCAGAAGUUCAAUACCAGCGUCAGUUUGACUUGACACAAUCUAUGGUUGUAGUGUAUUGAUUUCACAAAUUGAACCUAUGAAAUGAAACUCUGUCAUCAAGAAGCUAUUGGACACCUAUAUGGACAUGCAUUUACCUCUCUGCCCAGUGCAAUUAUUUAUAAAUGUCUGUGGAAGAAUAGAGAGAGGAGGGAGGAAAGGAAGAAUAGAUUAUUCUGUGUCUUUCAGGAAGAGAGAGACAAGAAAAGAGAAAAUAUGAAAAA
ensembl:lncRNA novel transcript